GACGAACCGAGCGAACGUUGUUCGGAAUCACUGGGCUUAAAGGGCGCGUAGGCGGGUGCUCAAGUCCGGGGUGAAAUCCUCCAGCUCAACUGGAGAGCUGCCUCGGAUACUGGGUGCCUCGAGGGUGGUAGGGGUAUGCGGAACUAUCGGUGGAGCGGUGAAAUGCGUUGAUAUCGAUAGGAACUCCGGUGGCGAAGGCGGCAUACUGGACCACAUCUGACGCUGAGGCGCGAAAGCCAGGGGAGCAACGGG
rnacentral:rRNA from 1 species